rnacentral:tRNA from 1 species
GCCCAGAUGGCGGAAUUGGUAGACGCGCUAGACUCAAAAUCUGGUUCUCGCAAGGGAGUGCAGGUUCGAUUCCUGUUCUGGGCAC